rnacentral:tRNA from 1 species
GCGGGCGUAGCUCAGUGGUGGAGCGUCUGCUUCCCAAGCAGAAGGUCGCGGGUUCGAUUCCCGUCGCCCGCUCAA